rnacentral:rRNA from 1 species
UACGUAGGGGGCCAGCGUUGUCCGGAAUCACUGGGCGUAAAGCGCGCGCAGGCGGUCAUCUACGUCUGGGGUGAAAGCCCGGAGCUCAACUCCGGGAUUGCCUUGGAUACGGGAUGACUUGAGGAUCGGAGAGGCAAGGGGAAUUCCACGUGUAGCGGUGAAAUGCGUAGAGAUGUGGAGGAACACCUGUGGCGAAGGCGCCUUGCUGGCCGAUUUCUGACGCUGAGGCGCGAAAGCGUGGGGAGCAAACAGG